rnacentral:rRNA from 1 species
GAUGAACGCUGGCGGCGUGCCUAAUACAUGCAAGUCGAGCGAACGGACGAGAAGCUUGCUUCUCUGAUGUUAGCGGCGGACGGGUGAGUAACACGUGGAUAACCUACCUAUAAGACUGGGAUAACUUCGGGAAACCGGAGCUAAUACCGGAUAAUAUUUUGAACCGCAUGGUUCAAAAGUGAAAGACGGUCUUGCUGUCACUUAUAGAUGGAUCCGCGCUGCAUUAGCUAGUUGGUAAGGUAACGGCUUACCAAGGCAACGAUGCAUAGCCGACCUGAGAGGGUGAUCGGCCACACUGGAACUGAGACACGGUCCAGACUCCUACGGGAGGCAGCAGUAGGGAAUCUUCCGCAAUGGGCGAAAGCCUGACGGAGCAACGCCGCGUGAGUGAUGAAGGUCUUCGGAUCGUAAAACUCUGUUAUUGGGGAAGAACAUAUGUGUAAGUAACUGUGCACAUCUUGACGGUACCUAAUCAGAAAGCCACGGCUAACUACGUGCCAGCAGCCGCGGUAAUACGUAGGUGGCAAGCGUUAUCCGGAAUUAUUGGGCGUAAAGCACGCGUAGGCGGUUUUUUAAGUCUGAUGUGAAAGCCCACGGCUCAACCGUGGAGGGUCAUUGGAAACUGGAAAACUUGAGUGCAGAAGAGGAAAGUGGAAUUCCAUGUGUAGCGGUGAAAUGCGCAGAGAUAUGGAGGAACACCAGUGGCGAAGGCGACUUUCUGGUCUGUAACUGACGCUGAUGUGCGAAAGCGUGGGGAUCAAACAGGAUUAGAUACCCUGGUAGUCCACGCCGUAAACGAUGAGUGCUAAGUGUUAGGGGGUUUCCGCCCCUUAGUGCUGCAGCUAACGCAUUAAGCACUCCGCCUGGGGAGUACGACCGCAAGGUUGAAACUCAAAGGAAUUGACGGGGACCCGCACAAGCGGUGGAGCAUGUGGUUUAAUUCGAAGCAACGCGAAGAACCUUACCAAAUCUUGACAUCCUUUGACAACUCUAGAGAUAGAGCUUUCCCCUUCGGGGGACAAAGUGACAGGUGGUGCAUGGUUGUCGUCAGCUCGUGUCGUGAGAUGUCGGGUUAAGUCCCGCAACGAGCGCAACCCUUAAGCUUAGUUGCCAUCAUUAAGUUGGGCACUCUAAGUUGACUGCCGGUGACAAACCGGAGGAAGGUGGGGAUGACGUCAAAUCAUCAUGCCCCUUAUGAUUUGGGCUACACACGUGCUACAAUGGACAAUACAAAGGGCAGCGAAACCGCGAGGUCAAGCAAAUCCCAUAAAGUUGUUCUCAGUUCGGAUUGUAGUCUGCAACUCGACUACAUGAAGCUGGAAUCGCUAGUAAUCGUAGAUCAGCAUGCUACGGUGAAUACGUUCCCGGGUCU